AACACAGGAGAUACAGAGAACAAAGGUGAUUCCAAAUGCUGUGUGACGCAACAUACAGGACCAUUCAGUGGGCCGACCAAUGAAAGCAAUUGCAAUGAAGCAUCAAGAAAGACAUGAGCAUGCCAACCACCCUGAGACUGAUAAUUCAGGGAACACAUUUCUGUCACUAACAAAGUGGAUGGUGAGCAAAGAUGGUGGCUAAAUUUUGGAGCAGAACCUGGGUUUUGCAGAUGGCUAUGUAUUUAUUUUCCCAUUAUGUUUCUGUUGCCUAAAUAUUCUUUGUGAGGAUAAAUCUAGAGAGAAUACAACAUAAUGCACUGCAAAAUGUCCUAAGAAAGGAGAAA